GGCCUCCUCCUUUGCAGCAAUGGAGGAGGCCGGGGCUUCGGCGAGGGAAGGAAUGCUUCUCUCCUCGGCGAGCUCCCGGCCUCCUCCCUUGCAGCAAUGGAGGAUGCU
rnacentral:pre_miRNA from 1 species